GACGUAGGGUCCAAGCGUUGUCCGGAUUUACUGGGCGUAAAGAGCGCGUAGGCGGCUCGUUAAGUGUGAAGUGAAAUCUCUAGGGCUCAACCCAGAAACUGCUUUACAUACUGGCGAGCUGGAGUGAUGAAGAGGUUUGUGGAAUUCCUGGUGUAGCGGUGAAAUGCGUUGAUAUCGAGGAGAACACCUGGCGAAGGCAGCAAACUGGUCAUCAACUGACGCUGAGGCGACGAAAGGCGUGGGGAGCGAACAGG
rnacentral:rRNA from 1 species